rnacentral:rRNA from 1 species
CUACGGGUGGCAGCAGUGAGGAAUAUUGGACAAUGGGCGAAAGCCUGAUCCAGCCAUGCCGCGUGAAUGAUGAAGGCCUUAGGGUUGUAAAGUUCUUUUAGUAGUGAAGAUGAUGACGGUAACUACAGAAAAAGCUCCGGCUAACUCCGUGCCAGCAGCCGCGGUAAUACGGAGGGAGCGAGCGUUGUUCGGAUUUACUGGGCGUAAAGCGUGCGUAGGUGGUUUCUCAAGUAAGAAGUGAAAGCCCAGGGCUUAACCCUGGAACUGCUUUUUAAACUGGGUCACUAGAAUAUAGGAGAGGUAGAUGGAAUUCCGAGUGUAGAGGUGAAAUUCGUAGAUAUUCGGAGGAACACCAAUGGCGAAAGCAGUCUACUGGACUAUUAUUGACACUGAGGCACGAAAGCGUGGGGAGCAAACAGGAUUAGAUACCCUAGUAGUC